rnacentral:rRNA from 1 species
UCAGUGGCGAACGGGUGAGUAACACGUGAGCAAUCUGCCCUUGACUCUGGGAUAAGCGCUGGAAACGGCGUCUAAUACCGGAUACGAGCUGCCAACGCAUCUUCAGCAGCUGAAAAAAACUUCGGUCAAGGAUGAGCUCGCGGCCUAUCAGCUUGUUGGUGAGGUAACGGCUCACCAAGGCGUCGACGGGUAGCCGGCCUGAGAGGGUGACCGGCCACACUGGGACUGAGACACGGCCCAAACUCCUACGGGAGGCAGCAGUGGGGAAUAUUGCACAAUGGCCGCAAGCCUGAUGCAGCAACGCCGCGUGAGGGACGACGGCCUUCGGGUUGUAAACCUCUUUUA